rnacentral:rRNA from 1 species
GAUGAACGCUGGCGGCGUGCCUAAUACAUGCAAGUCGAGCGAACGGACGAGAAGCUUGCUUCUCUGAUGUUAGCGGCGGACGGGUGAGUAACACGUGGAUAACCUACCUAUAAGACUGGGAUAACUUCGGGAAACCGGAGCUAAUCCCGUAUAAUCUUUUGAACCGCAUGGUUCAAAAGUGAAAGACGGUCUUGCUGUCACUUCUAGAUGGAUCCGCGCUGCAUUAGCUAGUUGGUAAGGUAACGGCUUACCAAGGCAACGAUGCAUAGCCGACCUGAGAGGGUGAUCGCCCACACUGGAACUGGAACACGGUCCAGACUCCUGCGGGAGGCAGCAGUAGGGAAUCUUCCGCAAUGGGCGAAAGCCUGACGGAGCAACGCCGCGUGAGUGAUGAAGGUCUUCGGAUCGUAAAACUCUGUUAUUAGGGGAGAACAUAUGUGUAAGUAACUGUGCACAUCUUGACGGUACCUAAUCAGAAAGCCACGGCUAACUACGUG